AAGUCGUAACAAGGUUUCCGUAGGUGAACCUGCGGAAGGAUCAUCAACAAAUCUAAAGUUGUUUGGCCUAGCCAACAAUUAUACCAAUGUGAAUUGAGGCCUCGGCCUUUUAUUUUUUUUUGAACACUGUAAGUGAGGUAACUUUCUUUUACUUUUUUGUAGAAGAAGGUAUGCUCUUUUGCUUUGUGAUAAAAAAUAUUAACGAGUAAACCAGAGUCUAUUAAAAAAUUAUAAAUCAUAAUAACUUUUAACAAUGGAUCUCUUGGCUCUU
rnacentral:misc_RNA from 1 species